rnacentral:rRNA from 1 species
UACGUAGGUGGCAAGCGUUAUCCGGAAUUAUUGGGCGUAAAGCGCGCGUAGGCGGUUUUUUAAGUCUGAUGUGAAAGCCCACGGCUCAACCGUGGAGGGUCAUUGGAAACUGGAAAACUUGAGUGCAGAAGAGGAAAGUGGAAUUCCUAGUGUAGCGGUGAAAUGCGUAGAGAUUAGGAGGAACACCAGUGGCGAAGGCGGCUUUUUGGCCUGUAACUGACACUGAGGCGCGAAAGCGUGGGGAGCAAACAGG